AACUAAGUCAGUAGGUCAAAUCAAAGAAAAACCUUGUGUAUGCGAUAGAGGCUGUAUUUUUCAAUUGAUUUUUUUUAUGAAAUUUGGUCAGAAUGAUUAUCUUGAUAAAAUCUAGGUUGAGUUUGAUUUUUGGUCAUCUGGGUUCAAAAAGUAGGUCACUAUGUCAAAUCAAAGAAAAACCUUGUAUAUGCAAUAGAGGCUGUAUUUUUCAAUUGAUUUUCAUGAAAUUUGGUCAGAAUGAUUGCCUUGAUGAAUUCUAGGUCAUGUUCAAAUAUGGGCUAUCUGGGGUCAAAAAGUAGGUCUUUAUGUCAAAUCAAAGGAAAACCUUGUGUAUGCGAUAGAGGCCGUUUUUUUUUUCAAUUGAUCUUCCUGAAAGUAAGUCAGAAUGAUUGCCUUGAUGAAAUCUAGGUUGAAUUUGAAUAUGGGUCAUCUGUAGUUAAAAAGUAGGUCACUAGGUUAAAUCAAAGAAAAACCUCGUGUAUAUGAUAGAGGCUGUAUUUUCAACUGAUCUUCAUGAAAUUUUGUCAGAAUGAUAGCCUUGAUAAAAUCUAUGUCAAGUUCGAAUAUGAAUCAUCUAGGAUCAAAAACUAGGUCGCUAGAUCAAAUCAAGGAAAAUACUUGUUUUUGUUCCAAUUUUAAUGAUAAUUGGUCAGAACAUUUUUUGUCCAUGAAAUCACUAGGUCAAACAUGUUUUCACUGUUAUGGUGUAUUAUGGUGUGUUUCUCAGGUGAGCGACUUAGGGCCAUCUUGGCGCUCUUGUUAACUUGAAUGUUGCAACUUAAAAGAAAAGUUUGCAUAUUUUCAAAUGCCUGUUUGUUAUUCCCGUUUAUGAUAAUUGCUAAUAAUAAUCACAGACGGACUCAGUCAGGUGAGAGUAAUUAAAAAUAAGGUGUAUUUUCACGUUCUUUCGCGGAAGAUAUUGCGCUCCUAAAGUCGCGCAAUAUUACCGCUGCAGAACUUGUGCAUAUAUCCAGUACAAAGUUGAUAUAUAACCUAUAAAUAUUAUGUACCUUCGAUGUUUAUGUUCUCCAUGUUCAAAUAGAUUUACUUUUCCUUCAUCACAAAAUAUUCCUUUAUUAAAAAUGUUAAAUGGACACAACUCAACGCUACUGCAUAAAAUAUUGUCAAUACAUCUA